GCCAGGCGUGGUGGCUCACGCUUGUAAUCCCAGAACUUUGGGAGGCUGAGACAGGUGGAUCACCUGAGGUCAGGAGUUCGAGACCAGCCUGGCCAACAUGGCGAGACCCUGUCUCUA
rnacentral:SRP_RNA from 1 species